rnacentral:lncRNA from 1 species
GGGCUUGCUGACCGGUCAGCGGGCGGAGGAAGCGACCAGUUGAUGCCCGUCAAAAAUCAAAGAGCUCCGUCCAGCCUAACAAAAGGCUUGUUCGUAACAUUACAGUGUGGGGCCGCUUAAGCCCAGGUUGCCAACGUGGCGCCUCAGAUUGGCUUCUGCGGUGCCUCCUGCAAAGCUGCUGAGCACGCCCCUCCCCCCCGUAGCAGCUGUCGUGUGGCGAGGUCAAGGCACUGUCAGCUUAAAUUGGAUGUAAAGGUGGCUGACCCUCGUGUCCUGGUGACUAAACUUAUUGCUUUCUUGGCAGCCAUGUAUAUACAGAUCUGAGUAAAAGCUGGAGGACUGGUUUCAAAUGACUUUUACGCUCAUGCUCCUCAACCACCCAGUAUCAGCAAAUCAGAGCUUUCAUCUAUCUCCACAGACUGAGGCACCAUCUACAUGUUCAAAAAUGGCAGACCUAGUGUCAGCUAGAGGGCUGAAGAUUCUGAUGUGAGAAGCUGAUUCCAAGCAUGGGGACCCUGUGCCUCCAAGAUAUGUGCUUCUCUUGAGUUUUGGUCUGCUAUUCUUUUUGCCCCUUGGAUCAGCACCCUGACAUGAAGGCAAGAUCCUCUGAUGUGCUAAGAACCAACUGAGCUUCAGGANAAGUUGAAGGGGGGAAAUGCAAAUCAUUCUUUAUCCAUUCCAGGAAGAAAAAGAACGUGUUGUGAGCAACCUCUUCACGUCCACCCUACCCAGUAUCUCCUCAAUCACUGGUGCUAAACACACAGUUAAUUCAUUGACCUGAGAUGUCAAAUUCCAAGCAAAGGAAACCAAAAUGUCAUACUUUCAUUCAUUGCACCAUCGCAUGGAACUAUUUUUUCCGGAUUCUUGGGAAGUUGAAAUAUUUCAGAAGAAUAUCAGGAACUGUUGUUUUAACUUUGGAACUGAACUCCUCACCUUCAACUGUUAUCAGGUGGCAGCAUAUCAGAUAACCCUAAAGAAGGACUGCAGUGUCACAUCAGUGGUGUGACUAAGAUAUCUGGCCACAGGAGGAGGAGGAGGAGGAGGAGGAGGAGGAGGAAGAGGAAGAGGAAGAACAACAACAACAACAACAACAACAACAACAACAUGGUUUUUGUACCCCGCUUUUCUCGGCCAAAGCUGACUCAAAGCGGCUUACAAGGUUAUUUUUCGCCCGAAGGCUUAUGAACACUGUGUAUGUUUUUCUGACCUUAUAAUGCAGAUAAAUAUUCAAUUCUUUCUUCAUCACAUUUUUGCCUCUCUGAGGGCCCAGACAACUGUGAGAUUCUCUCCGUUAGUAGAUGACAAAGAUUCAC